rnacentral:rRNA from 1 species
GACGAACGCUGGCGGCGUGCCUAACACAUGCAAGUCGAACGGGACCAGGGGCAACUCUGGUUCAGUGGCGGACGGGUGCGUAACACGUGAGGAACAUGACCUUCGGCGGGGGAUAGCCGGCCCAACGGCCGGGUAAUACCGCGUACGACCUUUCGGGGACAUCCCUGGAUGGUGAAAGCAGCAAUGCGCCGAUGGAGUGCCUCGCGGCCUAUCAGCGAGUUGGUGGGGUAACGGCCUACCAAGGCGACGACGGGUAGCUGGUCUGAGAGGAUGGCCAGCCACAUUGGGACUGAGACACGGCCCAGACUCCUACGGGAGGCAGCAGUGGGGAAUAUUGCGCAAUGGACGAAAGUCUGCCGCAGCGACGCCGCGUGUGGGAUGACGGUCUUCGGAUUGUAAACCACUGUCGGGAGGGACGAAUACGCCGCAAGGCGGGUGACGGUACCUCCAAAGGAAGCACCGGCUAACUCCGUGCCAGCAGCCGCCGUAAGAC